AGCAACUUUUUUCAGUUAAUACCGUAAAGUCUUGUUAUGAAUUGCAAUUGAAUAAUUAGAUUAUAGUUCAUCCAAUUUUUUUCAGGCCGUGAUUCAGGAUACUGCGGGAGUAAGACUGCCGAUAUCGUUUGUUAUCCCCGUUGCAUGGCUACACGUAAAUCGGAUGUUUGAAAGAUUAUCAAUAACGACGAUUUAAUUCAAGGAUUUCCAUCAACCACCCUCCGCCGGAUUAGACAAGUUUUGUUGUGUAUUCGCAAAAUAAUCGACAUAAAAGGGUUUUGCGUUAUUUCGCCGCGUGUUUAAACUGGCCCCUUACGUCGAAGCUAGUAUGAUUGUAUUACGACUUUGACAUCUGUUUUUUUUAUAUAA